rnacentral:lncRNA from 1 species
AAUGUUAAGAUUCAUUACCAAUUUUAAGUUUUUUACAGAACAACAUAGACACCAAGAACAGAUUAACAGAAAUAAACUAAACAUAAACUCAGACAUGGACAAUAGAAUGAACCGACUACAAGAGGAGCAGCUAACUAGCAAAAACGCACCAGAGUUGGAACCUACGCUUGCCGCAAAAUCAAACAUGCAGUUAUAACGAGGACUGAACCCGGUAGAGUAUGGCGAAUCCCGAUGAUCAGUCCUUAAAGAUCCAGGUUGUCAAGAACAGCUCGUGCAGCCCUCCUAAUCCGCAGCCUCCACGAACAAACAGCUUCCUUCGCAACAGAGCGCACCCGCUCACACCAAGUCGAGCUUUAUUUGGAGAAGAAACCACCAAGAGCCGCCACAGAUUACCGGACCUACAUCAAGAAAACAGAACGAGCAAGCACCACCUUGAGUCAAAGUGGACAGGAGGCAGCCCCAGACCAUGCCCCUGAAACAAGCAGGCUCUGAACGUGCCGCCACCGAAGGAAGAAGCCGUGGUUGACAAGGCCGACGACUCUCCACCUCGCACACGCACCGCGACGGAGAACCCGUAGCGGACCUUCACGAUUUCGAACCGAAAUCAACCCCUGGAAGCCCCCGCAAGAUAGACUGACCGGUCUAACAAGGAACACCUGCGGAGAACACCAAGAUACGCAGAGAAACACCGCAACGCCACCGCCUGGAGAAACCGAGAAGCGCCUUCAACCAAGUGAGCCUUCUCACCCACACCGAGAACGGAAGGUAGAGGAAGCAGAGGAAGGAGACGGAUCUACUUCCGGAAUCCAGAUCUGACGCCAGAUCGAGACUUCCACGACCACACCCGACCGAAGGAACCUCACAUCCACUCCUCCUCCACGCUUCUCCGGAGUUCCAAGAAAGACAACACCAGAUCUGGAACCGCGGUGGCGCAAGCCCCCAGAAGACCGAGAAAGGAAGCAAGAAGAGGGAGGGAGAGGAGAGGCGAAGAGAGCAGCGACUGGCGGGGGCGGACCGGAGCCGAGGAGGCCGCCGACCACCCAACGAGAUCUGCAACUAGGGUUUUCUUUUUUUUUAGAGAGAGAAGUAUAAGAGAGAAAGGAGAACGUUCUUUUUCUCUUCUUCUAGAAAUUAAUC